rnacentral:rRNA from 1 species
GUGAGGAAUUUUCCGCAAUGGGCGAAAGCCUGACGGAGCAAUGCCGCGUGAAGGAUGAAGGCCUAUGGGUUGUAAACUUCUUUUCUCAGAAAAGAAUUAUGACGGUAUCUGAGGAAUAAGCAUCGGCUAACUCUGUGCCAGCAGCCGCGGUAAGACAGAGGAUGCAAGCGUUAUCCGGAAUGAUUGGGCGUAAAGCGUCUGUAGGUUGUUUAAAAAGUAUUCUGUCAAAGAUUAGGGCUUAACCCUAGAUAGGCAGAAUAAACUUUUAAGCUAGAGUUUGGUAGAAGCAGAGGGAAUUCCCGGUGGAGCGGUGAAAUGCGUAGAUAUCGGGAGGAACACCAAAGGCGAAGGCACUCUGCUGGGCCAAUACUAACACUGAGAGACGAAAGCGAGGGGAGCAAAUGGGAUUAGAUACCCUUGUAGUCC